AAGACAGGUGAGGACACAUGAACGAGGAGACCUGGACUCCAGGCCUGCUGUGAAACACUAAUGAACCCAAAGUGGGGCUCCAGAGAGGAGCCCCUCGCGGCUGCAGAGGUGGCUCACAGGCUACAGAGCACGGGCUGCUCUUGCAGAGGACCCAUGUUCAACACGCAGAACCCUGCUGUGGAUCACAAAGCCCUGGAACUCCCUUCUGGGGAAUCUGGUGCCCUCUUGUGGCCUCCAUGGGCCCCAGACAUGAGCAUAACUCCCUGGCACACAUGCAGCCAAAAUACCCACACACCUAAGGAAGCGAGAAGGAACCAUGCUCUGGAUUUCUUGUUGGCGCUGUGCUGUUUUUCUGUUGAUUUCGUUCCUGAGCUUUAAUCAUGCCCCAUGAUGGUAUGUUCUCAGCUUUGCUGUUUUUGAGGUUAGGUAGAUUUAAAUUUUUCCACCUUUAAUCUGUGUGUGAGAGAGUGUGUGGGUAAAUAGGCUCAUGCCAAGGAAUGAAUGUGAGGUCAAAGGGUAACUUGGCAGGUGUCAGUUCUCCCACUGUGUAGGAAGUGAACUCAGGUCCUCAAGCUUGGGGACGGGAGCCUUUACCCGGUGAACCAUCUUGCCGGAUCCAAGUGUAGCUUCGUAGACACUGUCUCUCUCCAUGUUGUAAGCCCUGGGCUUGCAUUGCUGACCAAUGCCCUGUAUAAUUGUUCUGCAUGAACAGCCCUUCUUAGCAGGUCCCACCCACUGCCAGAAACAGGGUGGCACAUUGACCUGGGGUCUCUGAGGACAUUGUCCCCUUUGUGUUGUGCCUCUCACUUGUGCUAGCUUCUCUUCAGGAAGUGAAGAUUGAUAAGAAACUGGACCCUGGACUUCGGGUGACCGUGCGGCUGAACCAGCAGCAGCUCCCAGAAUGCAAGACGUACAAAGGAACAGUCGUGUCGUCACAGGACCCCCGCACCAAAGCUGGUCUCUACUGGGGCUACACUGUCCGGCUGGCCUCCUGCCUCAGUGCUGUGUUUGCCGAGGCUCCCUUCCAGGAUGGGUAUGACCUGACCAUUGGGACAUCAGAACGUGGCUCCAGCGUGGCCUCUACCCAGCUGCCCAACUUCAGGCAUGCUCUUGUGGUG
rnacentral:lncRNA from 1 species